GACUGUUUAUUCAGCUCCAUUGAUACUCCUGAAUUCCAUUUUUUUUCUUUUUAAUUGCCUGGGAGCUAAAAAACAUUGCAAUCUAUCUGAUGACUCAGCACAGGAUUGAGCAGUGACCCACAUUAUUUCCACCCUACAGACAGAGGCACCAGUGUGCAUCUACGUUCUGGCCAGAGGCAAGAAUAGAAUCAGGUUUAUUAUCACAGACCUAAGUCGUGAAAUAUAUCGUUUCACAGCAGCAGUGCAGUGCAAUACACGAGAAAGACUUACAAACAAGAGAAAAUCUGCAGCUGCUGGAACACUCGCAAAAUGCUGGAGGAACUCAGCAGGGCAGGCAGCAUCAACGGAAGAGUACAGUCAAUGUUUCGUGCCGAAACCCUUCAUCAGACCUCUGCUGCUCGACCGGCGGGGCUCCUUCAGCAGUCUGAGUAUUCCUCUGGAUUGCAACAUUGCCAUUCGAAUCGGGUUUAACGUCACUGGCAACGACUCUGUCAAGCACAUACACCACUGCAUACGAGUUUACUCGACUACUGAGUUCGUUGUCCAUUCAGAAAGCUGCUGAUGGAGAGGAAGCCAUUGAUCCUGAAGUGUUGGGUGCGUGUCUUCAGGCUCCUGUAUCUCCUGCCUGAUGGUAACAAUGGGAAGAGGGCAGGUUCUGGGAGUGAUGGGGGUCCUUAACGAUGGACGCCGCCUUUUUGAGGCAUCACUUUUUAAAGAUGCCCUGGAUGCUGAGGGAGCUAGUGCCCAUGAUGGAGCCGGCUGAGUUUACAACUUUCGGCAGCUUUUCCCCACCCUGUGCAGUGGCCCUUUCAUACCAGAUGCUGAUGCAAUCUGUUAGAAUGCUCUCCGUGCUAGAUCUUCAGAAAUUUGAAAGUGUCUUUGGUGACGUGACAUUCCAAAUCUCUUCAAACUCCUAAUACAGCUGCUGUAUUUGUGAUUGUAUCAAUGUGUCGGACCCAGGAUAGAUCCUCAGAGAUGUCUCCUGAUCAUGGAUAUUACCGGUGUCUGGCAAUUUUCCAUA